AGUUUAAUAAACAGCACUUUAUUAAUUCAAAGGGCUAUGUCUAACACAACAGAUGUGGUACUCACAUCUGUGAGCCAUCACUGGGCACCUUUUUACAGUGGAUAACCUGCUUACACUUUCUUCAUUGGGUGAGAAGCACUAUUUCUCCCAAAACAUGAUUUGAUCCCCAGCUAUUACUAAGUGUUGCAAAAACAACAAAAAGUACCUUCAUUUCAGAACAGUUAACUGCAUAAAGGGAGGCGGAACAACUAGAUUUACAGAAACAAAAAUCUUUAUGGUUGCCAAAUUCACAGAAAGACAGAAAGGCAAUCUUUUCAAAUAUACUGUCUUCUGAAAAUCUCCAGUGCCCAGUGCCUGCUAUGGUGAAAGCCAAAGUUCCCACAAUACUACCUGAAAACAGCAGAAGGUGCCCUGGUGCUCCAUAGUAAAUUUUAAGGUCCCUGAACCAGGAGAUGUAAGCCCAGUAGGAUAAUUAUGAACAAACCAGUAUCUAGCAAACUACUCUAAGAACCUGACAUGCAGGUUGUCAUACCUAUAAAAGCUACUACACAAAACUCCAUCUCCACACAAACUUUUUUAAGGAAAAGGUGAUUAUUACUUUAAGAGAAAGAUGUUAAUCUACAAAUCUACAAAUAAAAGCAAGGGGACCAUUUCAGCAGUGUUGGAUGCCUGUUAGGUGCAGACUCUACAAGCUGGCCUCAUCAAAUUUGUUAUGGAUCUACAUGAAGAAACUUCAUUCCCAUAGAGAAUUUAGCAGGCGACAAAGGAAAAAACAGCAGCAAUAUUUUUGUGUAAUUCUGGAAGUCAAACAACACUAUAGUAUAUAGAGACGACUGAGCCCAUUAUUAAAGCACACAAGCUCCCCUAGAUCACACCUAGAUACUUUCACAGGAACCCCAGACAGAUGAAAGGUACACCUGAAAUAAUUUCACCACGUGAAUUUCACAGAAGAAAAACUUUCUUCCCAUUUUGUUAUACAAUAACUGAAUGUCACUUCCUGUGUAAUAGGCACAGGUCACAAAAGAAAUGUUAAAUAUCCAUGAGUGCAACAUCACUAGCCUAUGUUAAGAAAAAAACCCUAUUUAUCCUUACAGCUCACAGAGCAGUAAAUUUAGCAAAUCAUUAAGAGUGGUAGGAUCCUUAUAUAUACAAUGGCUCAGUUUGGUGGCAGAAGGUGAAAGCAGGGGCAUAGAGAAAUAGAGAUCUAAAAGAAAUAUUAGAAUUAACAGUUCCCUCUUGACAACUAUGCUUGCCACCCAUACUAAAGUGGGUGGCAAAAUGGGCGGCGAAACUUUUAAAGUCUUGAAUAAAUCCAUCCCUUUUAAAUAAAACUCCACAGUAAGACAUCCAGCAGCAGGGCCGGCAGAAGCAAGCUGGCACCUCCGCUCCCGGCCAGACCGCCUUUGUUCGCUAGUGCCAGCCGCUGCAGCAUCCACGGGAGCACGGAACCCCCGGGCAGCAGUGAUACAUGCAAGAGAAACUAAGCUCAAACAAAGGAGGAAACUGAAAAACACCCCAGAAGGAUAUUAAUCAGACAAGACAUGAGUAACCUGAAGAGCACUCUUCAUACUGACAAAGUGGAAAUGGCAUCUAUCCAAACACACUGGUUCAAUGAGCCUUGGUUUUGAUGACCUUAUGCCUUGUUGACCUGGUUUAAC